UAACCAUGCCCAUUGAAAAGGUCUAGAAUAGAAUACCAACCUAGUAGCAAUGUGUAUUCUUUGCCUCCAAAUUUUGGUUUUCAAAUACCAUUUUCCAAUAAAAAGAACCAAGGCUUCUCAGAGAAAAGGUUAGUUCCAGGUCAGAGCAAGAAAUAUUCAAAAUGAGCUUAAAACAUUGUUAUGCCCGAUAACAAACAUGACAGAUUUCAAAAAGUGGCUGCAAAAAUAUUUCCUAUUUCACAUACUUUUUUCCAAUGUGACCUUGCCAUCAAUAAGUGGACCUUUUUCUCAACCCUUUUUAAUCUGGGAGAGUUCUAUGACUGCUUUGAUGAAAAGAGUAUGAAGGAAGAGACCCUGUCCCAGUUCCAGCAGUAGAUCUUAACUGGUCUAGCAGCUUGCAUUUUAUACCUCUUAGAAUGUUUGCUCUUGGAAAAUUCUAUCUUGGAACCCAGCUACCAUUCUAUGAAAAGCCAAGCCAUCUUGAGAAGUCAUGUGUAGGUGGUCAGUCCCAUUGACAACCUCAAAUGAGCUCCCAGCCAACAGCCAGCAUCAACUGCCAGUCAGCUUUCGAUGCCAUUGUAUCUGACAUCAUUCUAACAGGAUCAAAUUGAGCAACAACAGCAACCUAAAAAUGAGAGAGCAUGGCUACUUGGAACAAGAUGAAGAAAUAAAGCUUAUGGAGGUAAAGUAAAUGACCCGUUUCCAGUGCCGAUCUCUCAGAACUUCUGUAGAAAGCAAACAUCAAAAGGACCAAAGAUUUUUGUAGCGAUUCAGCCGCCCACAGCAAAGAAGUAAACCUUGAUUUUCUUUCAGCCUAGGAAAUGAUCAGCGAAGAGGCUUCACAAACAGCCUCUUUAACAUUUGAGGUUAAAAAAGAAAGUCAGUG